rnacentral:misc_RNA from 2 species
AACGCACCUUGCGCUCUAUGGCAAUCCGUAGAGCAUGCCUGUUUGAGUGCCAUGAAAUCUCCCACCCCAAGCGGUUUUUGAAUGAAACGGCUUGGCGGAUGGGGUCUGGAUGGGUGCCUCUGCCUGUGCUUACCUUUUAGCCCACAGGCUCGCCCGAAAUGCAUGAGCGCCUUGGGACACUUUGCAUCCGCCUCUCUUGUGGGGAGGAGGCGGCCAAGCAGUGUUUUUCUCCAGGCAUGGCAUGAUACGUCAUUUGCUAUGUCGCCCAAUGGAGGAAUGUUUGGUUGUGUCUGCGUGUGCUUCGAACUUUGCCUCUGUGCAAAUCCCCUUUCACUUCUGGUCUCAAAUCAGGUAGGAUCACCCGCUGAACUUAA